rnacentral:misc_RNA from 1 species
GUAGAUUCAUUAUAUUCUCUCUAAUGGACACUCUGUGAAAUAUCUGAGCUUCCAUAAAUGUGUCUUUGUGUGUGUUUAAGUUUAUGUAAAAUAUAGUUUUGUGAUCUUGGAAUGAGUAUGAUUUGAUCAUUUUGAAGUAAUAAUAAACAUAAUUCCAACACAAAAUGUGAUUGCAUCUGACUAAUUCUAAGCAAACAACCAGGAAAUGUUAAAUUGAAAGGGGAUGACUGUGAAGAUAUACCUAGGAUUAUAAACAACCAAUGUUGUAAACAAAGAUGUUUGUGCAAUAAAGUUCAUUCAGGUGUAGAUGUCGUAAAAAAAUAAAUUAUUUUUGGUCGUGAAGGAGUAUCGGAGU